UCAACAUCGAAUACGCUCAGGAUCAUCAUCGUGGAGCACGUGGUGGUUUUCUUAUCGACCAGAAGGUCUUCUUGCAGUCUUCCGAAGAAAACGAACAGAGUAGUACGUGCAGAUUUGAACUAACCAAAAUGGGGAAAAUGGCGGUGAUAGAUAGUGAUGGAUAUGGGGGAAAACAAGAUGGAAUCGAUGAUAUAAAUCUAAAGUUGGAAAACGAAGAAAAAGAAAAGUAUAAAAA
rnacentral:lncRNA from 1 species